UGUCAACAAUAAUGGUAUCUCCAAGAACCAGAGGAAUGCUCGCGCCCACAACAGAUUCAAACAGUACAUUCGCAAGUUUAGUGACACCCGAUCAGCUGAGAGGAGGUACAAUUUUGUUCAGAACUCCCUCUUCCAAUUUGAGCAACAAAUGAAUAAAUAUGCCAGUGGUGGUCGAAACACUGCAAGAGACUAAAACAUUGGGUUCGCUCUGGGAAAAUUUCAACAACAACAGUGUUUCUGUAAUCAUUCCGCCUAGUGGUAGCAAGGAGGUCACCUUUAGUUUGGCGAUGACCAAAGGCUUCAAGCACCUCCACAUUCACUUUGCCUGUCCGGAUAAGACCUGUUUGAUUCUGAGCACCAAACGACUUUGUUGUUCUGUAUAUUGGAUCUCUUGCUCUGUCUUUCAAAGGAUUUCUCCACAAAAUUACAGCUUCAUUAAAUGACUACGGAAUUAUGUCAUGGUU